AAAACGCAAGGGAUAGUAUAGAAGGAGUACACCUUGAUAGAGGUAGCCACGGUGCGAAUCCGUGUCAUUGCGUUACAUCUAGCCCCUUAAUUGGGGCUUUUUAAUU
rnacentral:sRNA from 13 species